AGCGAACGCUGGCGGCAGGCCUAACACAUGCAAGUCGAACGAACUCUUCGGAGUUAGUGUCGUACGGGUGAGUAACACGUGGGAACGUUCCUUUUGGUUCGGAAUAACUCAGGGAAACUUGUGCUAAUACCGAAUGUGCCCUUCGGGGGAAAGAUUUAUCGCCAUUAGAGCGGCCCGCGUCUGAUUAGCUAGUUGGUGAGGUAACGGCUCACCACGGCGACGAUCAGUAGCUGGUCUGAGAGGAUGACCAGCGACACUGGGACUGAGACACGGCCCAGACUCCUACGGGAGGCAGCAGUGGGGGAUCUUGCGCAAUGGGCGAAAGCAUGACGCAGCCAUGCCGCGUGAAUGAUGAAGGUAUUAGGAUUGUAAAAUUCUUUCACCGGGGACGAUAAUGACGGUACCCGGAGAAGAAGCCCCGGCUAACUUCGUG
rnacentral:rRNA from 1 species